GAUCAUCGGGUUCACCUCCUCCUCCCGGAACCCGAUACGGAAUACGGCACUCCUCCUCCCAAUAGCCGUAUUCAAGAUCAGGCCGCGCACCUCCUCCCGCGCGGCCUUUUUC
rnacentral:sRNA from 1 species